AUUGAACGCUGGCGGCAUGCCUUACACAUGCAAGUCGAACGGCAGCGCGGACUUCGGUCUGGCGGCGAGUGGCGAAGGGGUGAGUAAUACAUCGGAACGUACCCUGUUGUGGGGGAUAACUAGUCGAAAGAUUAGCUAAUACCGCAUACGACCUGAGGGUGAAAGUGGGGGACCGCAAGGCCUCACGCAGCAGGAGCGGCCGAUGUCUGAUUAGCUAGUUGGUGGGGUAAAGGCCCACCAAGGCGACGAUCAGUAGCUGGUCUGAGAGGACGAUCAGCCACACUGGGACUGAGACACGGCCCAGACUCCUACGGGAGGCAGCAGUGGGGAAUUUUGGACAAUGGGGGCAACCCUGAUCCAGCAAUGCCGCGUGUGUGAAGAAGGCCUUCGGGUUGUAAAGCACUUUUGUCCGGAAAGAAAUCGCGCUGGUUAAUACCUGGCGUGGAUGACGGUACCGGAAGAAUAAGCACCGGCUAACAACGUGCCAGCCGCCGCCGUAA
rnacentral:rRNA from 1 species